rnacentral:rRNA from 1 species
CCUACGGGAGGCAGCAGUAGGGAAUAUUGCUCAAUGGGGGAAACCCUGAAGCAGCAACGCCGCGUGGAGGAUGAAGGUUUUCGGAUUGUAAACUCCUUUUGUUAGAGAAGAUAAUGACGGUAUCUAACGAAUAAGCACCGGCUAACUCCGUGCCAGCAGCCGCGGUAAUACGGAGGGUGCAAGCGUUACUCGGAAUCACUGGGCGUAAAGCGCGCGUAGGCGGGAUAGCAAGUCAGAUGUGAAAUCCUAUGGCUUAACCAUAGAACUGCAGUUGAAACUGUUAUUCUAGAGUAUGGGAGAGGUAGGUGGAAUGCUUGGUGUAGGGGUAAAAUCCGUAGAGAUCAAGAGGAAUACUCAUUGCGAAGGCGACCUGCUAGAACAUAACUGACGCUGAUGCGCGAAAGCGUGGGGAGCAAACAGGAUUAGAUACCCCAGUAGUC